UACGGAGGGUGCAAGCGUUAUCCGGAUUCACUGGGUUUAAAGGGUAUGUAGGCGGGUAUUUAAGUCAGUGGUGAAAUCUCCGAGCUCAACUCGAAAACUGCCAUUGAUACUAUUUAUCUUGAAUAUUGUUGAGGUAGGCGGAAUAUGUCAUGUAGCGGUGAAAUGCUUAGAUAUGACAUAGAACACCGAUUGCGAAGGCAGCUUGCUAAACAAUUAUUGACGCUGAGGCACGAAAGCGUGGGGAUCAAACAGG
rnacentral:rRNA from 1 species